CGACUAGCACCCGCUCCUUCAGGAACAGUGAGGAGGUUGUUCCCGGCGGAGCGUUGGCCACCGGCCGCGAUGCUGGCCGGAGAGGGGAACCUGGGAGCCAAAAAUCCUGCUGCGGGUGGGCUGCUAUUUCCGGGGUGCAAGGAAGGAGGUGGAGGGGUCUACUCCGCGUACUCAGGUUAUGGAUUUGGGGAAAGACUGCCACAGAAGUGAGCUGCCCUUCUCACUGCUGCCCUUCUCACUGCAUCAUAUCAAGGCAUACAUGAUGUCAGCCCGACUUAUGACUGAUCACUGGGUGUCACUUUAAGGACUAAGAUGUGCCUGAUCCAAGCCAUGGUGUUUUCAGUUGCCUCAUAUGCAUGUGAAAGCUGGACAAUAAAUAAGGGAGACCAAAGAAGAAUUGACACCUUUGAAUUACGGUGUUGGCAAAGAAUAUUGAAUAUAUCAUGGACUGCCAAAGGAAUGAACAUAUCUAUCUUGGCAGAAGUACAGCCAGAAUGCUCCUUAGAAGUGAGGAUAGUGAGACUUUGGCUCACAUACUUUGGAAGCAUUAUCAGGAGGGAUCAGUCCCUGGUAAAGGACAUCAUGCUUGAUAAAAUAGAGGGUCAGCGAAAAAGGAGAAGACCUUUAACUAGAUGGAUUGACACAGUGACUGCAACAAGGGGCUCAAGCAUAGCAACGAUCAUGAGGACGACAUGGGACCUGGCAGUGUUUUGGACCAGGCAGUGUUUCAUUCUACUGUACACA